rnacentral:rRNA from 1 species
AUUGAACGCUGGCGGCAGGCCUAACACAUGCAGGUCGAACGGUAGCACAGAGGAGCUUGCUCCUUGGGUGACGAGUGGCGGACGGGUGAGUAAUGUCUGGGAAACUGCCCGAUGGAGGGGGAUAACUACUGGAAACGGUAGCUAAUACCGCAUAAUGUCGCAAGACCAAAGAGGGGGACCUUCGGGCCUCUUGCCAUCGGACGUGCCCAGAUGGGAUUAGCUAGUAGGUGGGGUAACGGCUCACCUAGGCGACGAUCCCUAGCUGGUCUGAGAGGAUGACCAGCCACACUGGAACUGAGACACGGUCCAGACUCCUACGGGAGGCAGCAGUGGGGAAUAUUGCACAAUGGGCGCAAGCCUGAUGCAGCCAUGCCGCGUGUAUGAAGAAGGCCUUCGGGUUGUAAAGUACUUUCAGCGAGGAGGUAGGUGUUGUGGUUAAUAACCGCAGCAAUUGACGUUACUCGCAGAAGAAGCACCGGCUAACUCCGUGCCAGCCGCCGCCGUAAGAC